UCCGACUUCACGUCGGCAGUAUCGCUAGAGUCCCCACCAUUACGUGCUGGCAACUAAGGACGGGGGUUGCGCUCGUUGCGGCACUUAAGCCAACACCUCACGGCACGAGCUGAGGACAGCCAUGCACCACCUGUCAGGGGCCCUUACGGACCCUACAUCUCUGUAGGUUUUCCCCUGAUGUCAAGCCCAGGUAAGGUUCUUCGCGUUGCCUCGAAUUAAGCCACAUGCUCCGCCGCUUGUGCGGGUCCCCGUCAAUUCCUUUGAGUUUCAGCCUUGCGGCCGUACUCCCCAGGCGGGGCACUUAAUGCGUUAGCGACGGCACCCAGGGGGUCGCUCCCCCAGGCACCUAGUGCCCAUCGUUUACGGCGUGGACUAC
rnacentral:misc_RNA from 1 species